ACGCCUAUCGUCGCAACAAUGGACAAGCAAAAGGGGAAGGCGAGUGGGAAGGAGAAGGAGAAAGAGAGGACGUUGGACUCCAUUAUGAAGAGAAAGUUGCCGAGCUCGGGGAUGCAGAAGGGGAAUGGGAAGGGCAAUGCAGCAGCUACUACACGGCUGCCGAGGAAGCUGACAAAUGAUUCCAGCAAUGUCCCAAUCGCUGAGUUGUUGUAUAGGGUAAAAAAGAAACCUCCGCCUUGACGUCUCCCUAACCCCACCGGCGCUGGCGUGCGUGCCGGAAUCGCCGUUGCCUCCGGCUCUGCAAACUACUAUGAGAGGGAGGCUACAUCUUCGCAGGCAAUGAAGCAUGAUAAGCAAGCGGAGGAGGAUCAUGAAGAGGUGGAAGAGGACGAGGAGGAGGACGAGGAAGAGCAAGAUACUUUGUUUGAGGUGCCGCCUGGGGUUGGUGACAAAUCAGAUUCAGAUGGGUUUGUGGAUAGUGAAGAAGAAGCCUUCGAAGGUGAUAAGCAAGUGAAGAAGAAGCCUUCGAAGGUGAUGUAAUGUCCGAGAACUUAGAUAUGUCUACUUGUGUGGUUUUAGAUGACUACAGGAGUUCUUUGAAACCAGAAAUGGUCGAAGCCUUGGUGUGUGGUGCUAGUUAUAUCAAAGGUUCUCACAAGGACUUCAAUGUGGUGGAGAGGGAUGAAGAUGAGGAGGACGAUGUUGAGAAUAUCAAGUUGCCCAAGAUUGUUGAUGUGGGGGGUGACAACAAUUGAUAUUCGCCAUGUGGGUGUUGCUCUUGAUAUUUUGAAGAUGGAUGUCUACAUGAUCUUCUCAUGUGGAUUGUUGAGGUCAACGUGAUAAUUUCGUGCCAUUCUUUUGUUGUGAUGAACUUCGAAUUAUGUGUGCUGUUGUGAUGAACUAUGGACCUUGAAUGAUGUUGUGAUGAACCAUGCACUUUCAACAAUGUUGUUGUGAACUUGUGAUGAACUAUGAACUUUGGAUUAUGUGGUUUUCACUAGUCAUUGUUUGGCUGUCAACAUUUUCUCAGUUUUAUGUCAAAGUGGUAAGUGUUAUGCUAUGCAAAAUUUCCUUGUUUGGC
rnacentral:rRNA from 1 species